rnacentral:rRNA from 1 species
UUGAACGCUGGCGGCAGGCCUAACACAUGCAAGUCGAGCGGCAGCGCGGGGCAACCUGGCGGCGAGCGGCGGACGGGUGAGUAACGCGUAGGAAUCUACCCAGUAGCGGGGGAUAGCCCGGGGAAACUCGGAUUAAUACCGCAUACGCCCUAAGGGGGAAAGCAGGGGAUCUUCGGACCUUGCACUAUUGGCAGAGCCUGCGUUGGAUUAGCUAGUUGGUAGGGUAAAGGCCUACCAAGGCAACGAUCCAUAACUGGUCUGAGAGGAUGAUCAGUCACACCGGAACUGAGACACGGUCCGGACUCCUACGGGAGGCAGCAGUGGGGAAUAUUGGACAAUGGGGGCAACCCUGAUCCAGCCAUGCCGCGUGUGUGAAGAAGGCCUUCGGGUUGUAAAGCACUUUAAGUGGGGAGAAAGGUUCGGCAGUUAAUACCUGCCGGAAGUGAUGUUACCCACAGAAUAAGCACCGGCUAACUCUGUGCCAGCAGCCGCUGUAA